UGCAAAGUUGUGUAGUGCGAUCGGUGGAUGCCUUGGCACCAAGAGCCGAUGAAGGACGUUGUGACCUGCGAUAAGCCCUGGGGAGUUGGUGAGCGAGCUGUGAUCCGUGGGUGUCCGAAUGGGGAAACCUGGAAUGUCCGGAGUAGUGUCCGGUGGCCCUGCCCUGAAUGUAUAGGGGACGAGCGCAACCCUUGUUCACUGUUGCCAGCACGUUAUGGUGGGAAGAGAAAACAAGUGUGAUUCCGUGAGUAGUGGCGAGCGAAAGCGGAGGAGGCUAAACCGUGUGUGUGUUCAAGCCGGCAGGUGUUGCAUGUGCGGGGUUGUGGGGGCCUUGUGGUUCUGCUGCCGCAGGAUUGGCCAGUGAGAAAUGUUGCGUGAAGGUGAAGCGUCUGGGAAGGCGUACCGGAGUGGGUGAGAGUCCUGUAACUGUAAGCGUGGCACUGGUGUGGGGUUGCCCCGAGUAGCGUGGGACUCGUGGAAUUUCGCGUGAAUCUGGCGGGACCACCCGUCAAGCCUAAAUACUCCUUGGUGACCGAUAGUGGAUGAGUACCGUGAGGGUGAUUAGGACUAAGUCGUAACAAGGUAGCCGUACCGGAAGGUGCGGCUGGAUUGCAAGCCGUCAGAGCCUGUGUGGUGAUGGCGUGCCUUUUGAAGAAUGAGCCUGCGAGUUAGUGAUGCGUGGCGAGGUUAACCCGGGGGUGGGGAGUCGUAGCGAAAGCGAGUCCGAUAAGGGCGUGAGUCGCGUGUUCUAGACCCGAAGCGGUGUGAUCUAUCCAUGGCCAGGAUGAAGCGUCGGUAAGACGUCGUGGAGGUCCGAACCCACUUCAGUUGAAAAUGGAGGGGAUGAGUUGUGGAUAGGGGUGAAAGGCCAAUCAAACACCGUGAUAGCUGGUUCUCCCCGAAAUGCAUUUAGGUGCAGCGUUGCGUGGUUCUUGUUGGAGGUAGAGCACUGGAUGGUCUAGGGGGCUUAUCGGCUUACCGAAAUCAGCCAAACUCCGAAUGCUGGCAAGUGUAGCGUGGCAGUGAGACGGGCGGGGAUAAGCUUCGUCGUCGAGAGGGAAACAGCCCAGAUCAUCAGCUAAGGCCCCUAAGUGGUGACUCAGUGGGAAAGGAUGUGGAGUUGCGUAGACAACCAGGAGGUUGGCUUGGAAGCAGCCAUCCUUGAAAGAGUGCGUAAUAGCUCACUGGUCAAGUGAUUCCGCGCCGAUAAUGUAGCGGGGCUUAAGUUAUCCGCCGAAGCUGUGGCAACCUGUGUGGUUGGGUAGGGGAGCGUCGUGUCAGUGGUGAAGCUGCCGGGUGACUGUGUGGUGGAGUUGAUGCGAGUGAGAAUGCAGGCAUGAGUAGCGUGUGACGGGUGGGAAUCCCGUCCGCCGAUUAUCCAAGGGUUCCAGGGUCAAGUUUGUCUGCCCUGGGUGAGUCGGGUCCUAAGGCGAGGCCGACAGGCGUAGUCGAUGGGUAACCAGUUGAUAUUCUGGUACCGGCUUGUCACCGUCCGUGUCGAGGUGUGUGAUGCUAAGCAUGUGAGCUUGUCUUGGGAGUGUUUUUGAUGCUUCUGGGGUGGGUGAGUGUGUGAACCGAUCAUGUAGUAGGCAAGCUGCGGAGGGACGCAGUGAGGUAGCUCAUCCCCGGUGAUGGUUGUCCGGGGCUAAGUGUGUGGACUGUCUGGUAGGUAAAUCCGCUGGGCGUGAAGGUUGAGGCAUGAUGGGGAGCCCAUGGUUGUGGGUGAGUGAGUGAUCCUGUACUGUCGAGAAAAGCUUCGUGAGCGAGGUGGCGGGUCCGCCCGUACCCUAAACCGACACUGGUGGAUAGGUAGAGUAUACCGAGGCGAUCGAGUGAAUCGUGGUGAAGGAACUCGGCAAAAUGCCCCCGUAACUUUGGGAUAAGGGGGACCUGAGCUGUCGUGCACCCGUGCGGUGUGGUGGCGGUGAGGGGCGCAGAGUCCAGGGGGAAACGACUGUUUACCAAAAACACAGGUCCGUGCGAAGUCGUAAGACGAUGUAUACGGACUGACUCCUGCCCGGUGCUGGAAGGUUAAGGGGAACUGUGAGUGUAUGCGUAGCGGUGAACUUAAGCCCCAGUAAACGGCGGUGGUAACUAUAACCAUCCUAAGGUAGCGAAAUUCCUUGUCGGGUAAGUUCCGACCUGCACGAAUGGAGUAACGAUUUCCCUACUGUCUCCACCAUGAACUCGGUGAAAUUGCAUUACGAGUAAAGAUGCUCGUUACGCGCAGCAGGACGGCAAGACCCCGGGACCUUUACUAUAGUUUGGUAUUGGUGAUUGGGACGGUUUGUGUAGGAUAGGUGGGAGACGUUGAUGCGGCCACGCUAGUGGUGGUGGAGUCGUUGGUGAAAUACCACUCUGAUUGUUCUGGUUAUCUCACUGUGGACCGUGAUCCGGUUCAAGGACAGUGCCUGAUGGGUAGUUUGACUGGGGCGGUCGCCUCCUAAAGGGUAACGGAGGCGCCCAAAGGUUCCCUCAGCCUGGUUGGUAAUCAGGUGGUGAGUGUAAGUGCACAAGGGGGCUUGACUGUGAGACUGACAGGUCGAGCAGGGACGAAAGUCGGGACUAGUGAUCUGACGGUGGCUUGUGGAUGCGCCGUCACUCAACGGAUAAAAGGUACCCCGGGGAUAACAGGCUGAUCUUGCCCGAGCGCUCAUAGCGACGGCAUGGUUUGGCACCUCGAUGUCGGCUCGUCGCAUCCUGGGGCUGGAGUCGGUCCCAAGGGUUGGGCUGUUCGCCCAUUAAAGCGGCACGCGAGCUGGGUUCAGAACGUCGUGAGACAGUUCGGUCCCUAUCCGCUGCGCGCGGAGGAAUCUUGAGAAGGGCUGUCUUUAGUACGAGAGGACCGAGACGGACUGACCUCUGGUGUGCCAGUUGUUCUGCCAAGAGCAUGGCUGGUUGGCUACGUCGGGUUGUGAUAACCGCUGAAAGCAUCUAAGCGGGAAGCACGCUUCAAGAUAAGGGUUCCCACAGGAGUGUUCCUGGUAAGGUCCCCGAGAGAUGAUCGGGUUGAUAGGCCAGACGUGGACGCAUCGUAAGGUGUGGAGCUGACUGGUACUAAUAGACCGAGGACUUUCAUU
rnacentral:rRNA from 1 species